CAUAUACUCCCUCCGUCCGGAAAUACUUGUCGGAGAAAUGGAUGAAAAUGGAUGUAUCUAAAACUAAAUUACGUCUAGAUACAUCCAUUCCUCCGACAAGUAUUUUCGGACGGAGGGAGUAGUAC
rnacentral:pre_miRNA from 1 species